UACGAAGGGGGCUAGCGUUGUUCGGAUUUACUGGGCGUAAAGCGCACGUAGGCGGAUCGUUAAGUCGGGGGUGAAAUCCUGGAGCUCAACUCCAGAACUGCCUUCGAUACUGGCGAUCUUGGGUCCGGAAGAGGUGAGUGGAACUCCUAGUGUAGAGGUGGAAUUCGUAGAUAUUAGGAAGAACACCAGUGGCGAAGGCGGCUCACUGGUCCGGUACUGACGCUGAGGUGCGAAAGCGUGGGGAGCAAACAGG
rnacentral:rRNA from 1 species